rnacentral:rRNA from 1 species
UACGAAGGGUGCAAACGUUGCUCGGAAUCAUUGGGCGUAAAGCGCACGUAGGCGGCGCAGUAAGUCGGACGUGAAAUCCCUCGGCUCAACCGAGGACGUGCAUCCGAAACUACUGUGCUCGAGUAUGGAAGAGGGUCGCGGAAUUCUCGGUGUAGAGAUGAAAUUCGUAGAUAUCGGGAGGAACACCAGUGGCGAAGGCGGCGACCUGGGCCAAUACUGACGCUGAGGUGCGAAAGCGUGGGGAGCAAACAGG